UAUAUUUCAGAUUCUUUUUGUUCUUCCUUAGGUUCAAAUGUAUCAGUUGUUUUUGUUGACAGAUAUCAAGUCAUUUCAGUUCUCAAUUAUUUUGUGCACCAAGUUACAAGAAAAAAUUUAAGCAAGAGAGGUCACUACACUAAGACUUUGUCUUCUCAUAAGAAUGGAUGGCUGCCUGGUCAUGUGAUAUGUGCGCUGAACUGUGUGUGGUCAUCUUGAUGCUCAUAUCUUGCCUGAUGCCAUUUAUUCUGCUGGACAUUUGGUCAAUGGAAGUAGAUUCUCUUCAGCUCUCAAGGAACAUUCAAAACAUGUCAAACAUUUGACAAGAAUAUCAAGCAAGUGCAGUGUACAUACCAACAUGAUGAAGAUGUAGACCAACAUGAAGAUGUAG
rnacentral:sRNA from 1 species